rnacentral:pre_miRNA from 15 species
GGAUACGUCCAUGUCUCCCAGCCCAAGGUGCAGUGCUGCAUCUCUGGUCAGUUGGGAGUCUGAGAUGAAGCACUGUAGCUCGGGAAGGGAGGAACUGCGCAGCCUG